rnacentral:rRNA from 1 species
UGCAGUCGGACGGGAACCGGGGGCUUCGGUCCCUGGGGAGAGUGGCGAACGGGUGAGUAACACGUAGGUGAUCUGUCCCUGGGUGGGGAAUAGCCCAUGGAAACAUGGGGUAAUACCGCAUAAGGUCUUGAUCCUGUGGGGUCUUGAUGAAAGGAGCAAUUGUUCCGCCUGGGGGUGAGCCUGCGGUCCAUUAGCUAGUUGGUGAGGUAAGAGCCCACCAAGGCGACGAUGGGUAGCCGGCCUGAGAGGGUGAACGGUCACACUGGAACUGAGACACGGUCCAGACUCCUACGGGAGGCAGCAGCUAAGAAUCUUCCGCAAUGGGGGAAACCCUGACGGAGCGACGCCGCGUGGACGAAGAAGGCCGUGAGGUUGUAAAGUCCUUUUCUUGGCGAAGAAUAAGGGCAGGAGUGGAACGCCUGCCUGAUGACGUUAGUCAAGGAAUAAGCCCCGGCCAAUUACGUGCCAGCAGCCGCGGUAACACGUAUGGGGCAAGCGUUGUUCGGAAUCACUGGGCGUAAAGGGCGUGUAGGCGGUUUUGCAAGCCUGGCGUGAAAGGCUUCGGCUCAACCGGAGGAUGGCGCUGGGAACUGCGAGACUGGAGUUCUGGAGGGGGAGCUGGAAUUCCUGGUGUAGGGGUGAAAUCUGUAGAGAUCAGGAAGAACACCGGUGGCGAAGGCGAGCUCCUGGACAGAGACUGACGCUGAGGCGCGAAAGCGUGGGGAGCGAACAGGAUUAGAUACCCUGGUAGUCCACGCUGUAAACGAUGUGCACUAGGUGUUGGGGCGAUUGAAGCCCCGGUGCCGUAGCUAACGCGAUAAGUGCACCGCCUGGGGAGUAUGCUCGCAAGGGUGAAACUCAAAGGAAUUGACGGGGGCCCGCACAAGCGGUGGAGCAUGUGGUUUAAUUCGAUGA